rnacentral:rRNA from 1 species
AACGAACGCUGGCGGCAUGCCUAACACAUGCAAGUUGAACGAUCCCUUCGGGGCUAGUGGCGCACGGGUGCGUAACGCGUGGGAACCUGCCCUUAGGUUCGGAAUAACUCAGAGAAAUUUGAGCUAAUACCGGAUAAUGUCUUCGGACCAAAGAUUUAUCGCCUUUGGAUGGGCCCGCGUUGGAUUAGCUAGUUGGUGGGGUAAAGGCCUACCAAGGCGACGAUCCAUAGCUGGUCUGAGAGGAUGAUCAGCCACACUGGGACUGAGACACGGCCCAGACUCCUACGGGAGGCAGCAGUGGGGAAUAUUGGACAAUGGGCGAAAGCCUGAUCCAGCAAUGCCGCGUGAGUGAUGAAGGCCUUAGGGUUGUAAAGCUCUUUUACCCGGGAUGAUAAUGACAGUACCGGGAGAAUAAGCCCCGGCUAACUCCGUG